GCUGUUAAGGGUUCGUAGUUGAAUUGUGGGGCAAGACUCUGGGAUCACGUCCUCUUCCCCGGUUGAGGAAAGUCCCAAUCUUGCCACCGAGAACGUCAGAAACUAAUAUCACGGGAGCGCUUUCCGCACUUUCGCGAGCAAUGCACGCAGUCGGACGUCCGUGUUCAUUACUGUGACUAAGAAGUGCGACCAAAGCAGUCCAUCGACAUGAAUUAGAAAGCAUGGGAUAACAAAGGGCAUCCUACUGUGCUACCGUUUAGGCUUUUGUUGGUUUUAAAGGUCAGUGGGAGAUUACGGGUGGUGCGACCGGCGUGGGGAGCGUCAUUGCUCCCGCGUCUCCUCCUCAUUCCGGGAACCGGUUUGGGCGAGGCGUACUCUAUUCAGGAAUGAAGGAGGGUUGCUCGGGGGAGAACGUCUUGAGCGUGAGAGGUGAAAUUCUUAGACCGCUCAAAGACGAACUACAGCGAAGGCAUUCUCCAGGAUACCUUCCUCAAUCGAGAACCAAAGUGUGGGGAUCGAAGAUGAUUAGAUCCAUUGUAGUCC
rnacentral:rRNA from 1 species